rnacentral:rRNA from 1 species
AGAGCGAACGCUGGCGGCAGGCCUAAUACAUGCAAGUCGAACGGAUCCUUCGGGAUUAGUGGCGGACGGGUGAGUAACACGUGGGAACGUGCCCUUUGGUUCGGAACAACUCAGGGAAACUUGAGCUAAUACCGAAUGAGCCCCCAUCCUUAAACAAGAUGGGUGGGAAAGAUUUAUCGCCAUUGGAGCGGCCCGCGUCUGAUUAGCUAGUUGGUGGGGUAAAGGCCCACCAAGGCGACGAUCAGUAGCUGGUCUGAGAGGAUGAUCAGCCACACUGGGACUGAGACACGGCCCAGACUCCUACGGGAGGCAGCAGUAGGGAAUCUUGCGCAAUGGGCGAAAGCCUGACGCAGCCAUGCCGCGUGAAUGAUGAAGGUCUUAGGAUUGUAAAAUUCUUUCAGCGGGGACGAUAAUGACGGUACCCGCAGAAGAAGCCCGGCUAACUUCGCGCCAGCAGCCGC